rnacentral:rRNA from 1 species
UGUUGCCUGCAAGGGCGUAUGGUGGAUGCUUGGCAGACAGGACCGAUGAAGGACGUUUGAGGCUGCGAUAUGCUCGGGGAGCCGCCAACAGGGCUUUGAUCCGAGGAUUUCCGAAUGGGGGAACCCACCGGCCGUCAUGGGCCGGUACCGCCGUGUGCGGGGGGUACGCAGGGAAGUGAAACAUCUCAGUACCUGCAGGAAAGGAUAUUCCGUGAGUAGUGGCGAGCGAAAGCGGAUCAGGCCAAACCUUGCGCGUGUGAUACCCGUCGGGGGUUGCGCGCGGGGUGUAGAGGGAUCGCGUUUGCCGGCUCCGACGGGCCGGCCGUCAGUUGCAUAAAACCAUGUGCCAGGGGAACCGGGUUGAAUACCGGGCCGCAGAGGGUGAGGGCCCCGUACCCGAACGCGCAUGGUCUGGCGAUCGCGUCUCCCAAGUAGCACGGGCCCCGUGGAAUCCCGUGCGAAUCUGUCCCGACCGUGGGAUAAGCCUAAAUAUUCCUGUCUGACCGAUAGCGAACGAGUACCGUGAGGGAAAGGUGAAAAGUACCCCGGGAGGGGAGUGAAACAGUCUCUGAAACCAUGCGCCUACGAACCGUCGGGGCCCUCUUGUGGGGUGACGGCGUGCCUAUCGAAAAAUGAGUCUGCGAGUCAGUGGCAUGUGGCGAGCAUAACCCGUGUGGGGUAUGCGUAGCGAAGGCGAGUCUUAAAAGGCGUUUGAGUCGCGUGUCCUGGACCGAAGCGGGAUGAUCUAGCCUGAGCAGGUUGAAGCGCGGGUAAGACCGUGUGGAGGACCGAACCCACCUGGGUUGAAAACCGGGGGGAUGACUUGGGGCUAGGGGUGAAAGGCCAAUCAAAUUCCGUGAUAGCUGGUUCUCUCCGAAAUGCAUUUAGGUGCAGCGUCGGAUCGAUUACAUCCGGGGGGUAGAGCGACUGGAUGCUUGCGGGCCCAUAUCGGGUACCAACAGCAACCAAACUCCGAAUACCGUGAUGCGUAUCCCGGCAGUGAGUCGGCGGGGGAUAAGCUCCGUCGUCGAAAGGGAAACAGCCCAGAUCGUCGUCUAAGGUCCCCAAGCGUGUGCUAAGUGGGAAAGGAUGUGGAGUCGCAUAGACAGCCAGGAGGUUGGCUCAGAAGCAGCCACCCUUGAAAGAGUGCGUAACAGCUCACUGGUCUAGUGGUUCCGCGCCGACAAUGUAGCGGGGCUCAAGCACACCACCGAAGACGCGGCAGUAGCUUUGCUACUGGGUAGGAGAGCGUCCCAUGCGGGGCGAAGCGGCGGCGCAAGCCCGCCGUGGACCGCAUGGGAGUGAGAAUGCAGACAUGAGUAGCGAAAGACGGGUGAAGAUCCCGUCCGCUGGACGACCAAGGGUUCCAGGGCCACGUUCAUCGUCCCUGGGUGAGUCGGGUCCUAAGGCGAGGCCGACAGGCGUAGUCGAAUGGACGAACGGGUCGAUAUUCCCGUACCGGCAUGCAACCGGCAAAACCGAAUCCGCGAGUACUAACUUCCGGGUCCGGGCUCACGUCUCCUUCGGGAGCCGGAUGCCCUGGCCUGUUGGGACCGUAACGGUAGUAGGUCAGCGCGGGAGUGACGCAGAAGGGUAGCCGGCCGCGGAGGUGGUCUUCCGUGGUCAAGCACGCAGCCCGUCCCACAGGCAAAUCCGUGGGGCGCGUGGGCGAGGUGCGAUGAUGGGCGCCGCAGGGCGCGAUAUCCGGUGAUCCCGGCUGCCGAGAAAAGCUUCGGCGUGAGGCGGCAUGCCGCCCGUACCCCAAACCGACACUGGUGGUCAGGUAGAGAAUACCAAAGCGAUCGAGCGAAUCCUGGUCAAGGAACUCGGCAAAUCACUCCCGUUCCUUCGGUUUAAGGGAGACCCCCGAUGGUGAAGCGGCUUGCCCGCGGAGCUUUUGGGGGUGGCACAGACCAGGGGGUAGCGACUGUUUACCAAAAACACAGGAGCGUGCGAAGGCGCAAGCCGCUGUAUACGCUCUGACGCCUGCCCGGUGCCGGAAGGUUAAGAGGAUCCGUCAGGCCUCGGCCGAAGCGGUGAAUUCAAGCCCCGGUAAACGGCGGUGGUAACUAUAACCAUCCUAAGGUAGCGAAAUUCCUUGUCGGGUAAGUUCCGACCUGCACGAAUGGCGUAACGACUUCCCCACUGUCUCGACCAGGAGCUCGGCGAAAUUGCAGUACGAGUAAAGAUGCUCGUUAAGCGCAGAAGGACGAAAAGACCCCGGGACCUUUACUAUACCUUGGUAUUGGCAUUCGGUGUGGAUUGUGUAGCAUAGGCGGAAGCUUCGAAGCCACGGCGCCAGCCGCGGUGGAGCCGCAAGGUGAAAUACCGCUCUGUUCGCAUUGGAUGUCUAACCUCGACCAGUCAUCCUGGUCAGGGACAGUGCCUGGCGGGUAGUUUAACUGGGGCGGUUGCCUCCCAAAGAGUAACGGAGGCGCUCAAAGGUUCCCUCAGCCCGGUUGGCAAUCGGGUGGCGAGUGUAAGUGCACAAGGGAGCUUGACUGCGAGACUGACGGGUCGAGCAGGGACGAAAGUCGGAACUAGUGAUCCGGUGCCGGUGUACGGACGCGGCAUCGCUCAACGGAUAAAAGGUACCCCGGGGAUAACAGGCUGAUCAUUCCCAAGAGUCCAUAUCGACGGGAUGGUUUGGCACCUCGAUGUCGGCUCGUCGCAUCCUGGGGCUGGAGCAGGUCCCAAGGGUUCGGCUGUUCGCCGAUUAAAGCGGCACGCGAGCUGGGUUCAGAACGUCGUGAGACAGUUUGGUCUCUAUCCUCUGCGCUCGUCGGAAUGUUGAGGAGGCCUGCCCAUAGUACGAGAGGACCUGGGUGGACGAACCUCUGGUAUGCCGGUUGUCACGCCAGUGGCACGGCCGGUUGGCUACGUUCGGAAGGGAUAACCGCUGAAAGCAUCUAAGCGGGAAGCCUGCUCCAAGAUAAGCAUUCCAUAGGACUACGGGUCCUUGAAGUCCCCAUGCAGAACACGUGUUGAUAGGCCGGACGUGGAAGCCCCGCGAGGGUGGAGCCGACCGGUACUAACGGACGAAAGGCAACACAAU